ACUAGCNGUAAGAGUUUUAUUCAUGGCGUCAGAACGAACGACUGCGGCAUGCCUAACACAUGCAAGUCGAACGAGGACCUUCGGGUCUAGUGGCGCACGGGUGCGUAACGCGUGGGAAUCUGCCCUUGGGUUCGGGAUAACAGUUGGAAACGACUGCUAAUACCGGAUGAUGACUUCGGUCCAAAGAUUUAUCGCCCAGGGAUGAGCCCGCGUAGGAUUAGCUUGUUGGUGAGGUAAAAGCUCACCAAGGCGACGAUCCUUAGCUGGUCUGAGAGGAUGAUCAGCCACACUGGGACUGAGACACGGCCCAGACUCCUACGGGAGGCAGCAGUGGGGAAUAUUGGACAAUGGGCGAAAGCCUGAUCCAGCAAUGCCGCGUGAGUGAUGAAGGCCUUAGGGUUGUAAAGCUCUUUUACCCGGGAAGAUAAUGACUGUACCGGGAGAAUAAGCCCCGGCUAACUCCGUGCCAGCCGCCGCGGUAAUAC
rnacentral:rRNA from 1 species